rnacentral:lncRNA from 1 species
NACAACGAAAGCACUCUGUUGGACCGACACUGACACUGACACUGAGAGACGAAAGCUAGGGGAGCGAAUGGGAUUAGAUACCCCAGUAGUCCUAGCCGUAAACGAUGGAUACUAGGCGCUGUGCGUAUCGACCCGUGCAGUGCUGUAGCUAACGCGUUAAGUAUCCCGCCUGGGAAAUACAUUCACAAGAAUGAAACUCAAAAGAAUUGAUGGGGUCCGCACAAGCGAUGGAGCAUGUGGUUUAAUUCGAUGCAAAGUGAAGAACCUUACUAAGGCUUUCCCUAAUAC